GUCAUAUCUCAUCAGUGGUUACAAAGUCAUUUCUUUCAUCUAUAGAAAAUAAAAUGUAUACUGUUCAUCAGAAGAACAUUUUCCACUUGUGUAAUAACUAUUUUCACUUUUAUACUCAGAUAUAAAACCAAGGAAAAUAACCUAAAGUCUGAAAAAGACCAGAAUCGAAGUUUCCUGAUUCAUAUUUUAAUGUUUUGAAAUUUAUACUCCAGGCUGGGUGCAGUGGCUUGUGCCUGUAAUCCCAGCACUUUGGGAGGCCGAGGCGGCCGGAUUGCCUGAAGUCAGAAGUUCGAGACCAGCCUGACCAACAUGGUGAAACCCUGUCUCUACUUAAAAAUACAAAAGAGCUGGGCAUGGAGGUGGUGCGCGCCUGUAACCCUAGCUACUCGGGAGGCUGAGGCCUAAGAAUCUCUUGAACCCAGGAGGCAGAGGUUGUAGUGAGCCGGGAUCACGCCACUGCACUCUAGCCUGGGCGACAGAGAGAGAGACUGUCUAAAAAAGGAAAAGAAAAAAAUUUAUACGCCAAAAAAGAUAUUCUGAGAUAACCUGUAGUUACCACUAACUUUGUGACAAAAUUAUAAAAAUCCACAGCCAUCUAUGAAUCUGUAGGCAGACCUGAAGUUUGAACGACUGGUGAAGACAUCUGAUUUUCUUUAUAGCCAAGUUAGGAUAACAAAAUGCAAACAAGUCAUUAAUAUUUACUAUAUGCAAGAUACAGAAAGAUGAAGGAAGGAGUAAGAAGUUAUCCUUCGUGGAACUAUUCAAAGCAAAAAUGCAAAAUACCAGGGAAAGCUUUGAAGAACCAAGAUUUGAGCAGGUUCUUAGAAUAUAGAUUGGAUUGGAUUUGAUUUCAAGAAAGAUGAACGUGUAAAGCAGAAGUGGGAAGCCAAAAACUUUUUUCCAAAUUAGAAUUAAGCAUUCUUUCAAUGAACAUUUGGAAAUCAAGGUAGAAAAAUAUCCCUAGGGCCUAGCUGAGGAGUCUGUAUGUUGUUGGGUUUUGAUAGUAACCAGUCCAAGAUUUUGUUAUUAGACGUGGGUUUCUGAAUAGACAGGCAUUUCUGAACAGACAUGACAGGAUCAAAACAAUGUUUGAGCAAACUGCCCUUCAUCUACUGUGGAUAUGUUGGGGGAUGAUGGAAUAUAGUGAAAGAUAAUGGGUGCUCAUACAGCAGUCUAGACUUAAGGUGAUUCAACUACUAUAUAUUAAACUAGAUUAUCUUUUAUUUUUUAAUUUUGAAAUCUGGAUGCUCAAGCUCUGCCUGCACAACCACAUGAGGAAGAAGGAACAAUGACAACAAAAAUAACACUAAAUUUAAAUUUAAGAGUACUACUUUUAGGAAAUAGACAAACCAUUAUUUGGGUACAACUAAAGGCAACUGGCAUGGACUCAAAUAUUUUGGGGAAGAAAAAGACUAAAAGUUCUAAGGAAGAAAAUGCGAACCUUGAUAGUUUGAAAUAGUUAAAAAGACAGUGUAGAAACUGCUUAGGCAGUUUGAUUAUGGACUAUUAGAUGAUACUUGGGUCUGAUAAUGGUAUAAGGAGAAUAAAGUAUUUAGGGAUCCAAUAUUACGCCUGCAGCUUUUUCCAAAUAGUUCAUGGGGGAGGGGGAUGUGUAAGUGGUUAACUGAAGUCUAACUAGAUAGGUUUGUUGUAAGCUUAGGAUGUUUACAGUUCUUCAUGUUAAGUUGAGCGUGAUGGGAAGGGAAAGAAUGCUGAUCUUUAAAUUUUUGUCCUUAGUUAAGUUCUGUAUUUAGUGAAUUAAUUGCAUCCUAAAAAGUCAAACUUGAAAAGCACAUUUUAAAUGGCAAAUCUAUUUUUUACAUGUUUGUGAAGUUUUUAUUUUUUAGUAAACAGACCAUCAGAAGAGAACAAUGGUACAGAGCAGGGGUCAGCAGAUGGAUUUUGUAAAGCAUCAACUUGUAAAUAUUUUCAAGUUUAUUAGCUGUAUGGCUCUGGUUUCUGUUCCCUGUUCCAAAUGUUAAAGUCUACUGUUGUAUUCUAAAAGCAGCCAUGGACUGAAUGUAGCUGUGUUCCAAUAAAACUUACACAAAAGCAGGCA
rnacentral:lncRNA from 1 species